rnacentral:rRNA from 1 species
AUUGAACGCUGGCGGCAUGCCUUACACAUGCAAGUCGAACGGCAGCGCGGGCUUCGGCCUGGCGGCGAGUGGCGAACGGGUGAGUAAUAUAUCGGAACGUGCCCUGGAGUGGGGGAUAACUAGUCGAAAGAUUAGCUAAUACCGCAUACGAUCUACGGAUGAAAGUGGGGGAUCGCAAGACCUCAUGCUCGUGGAGCGGCCGAUAUCUGAUUAGCUAGUUGGUGGGGUAAGAGCCCACCAAGGCGACGAUCAGUAGCUGGUCUGAGAGGACGACCAGCCACACUGGGACGGAGACACGGCCCAGACUCCUACGGGAGGCAGCAGUGGGGAAUUUUGGACAAUGGGGGCAACGCUGAUCCAGCAAUGCCGCGUGUGUGAAGAAGGCCUUCGGGUUGUAAAGCACUUUUGUCCGGAAAGAAAUCCGUUGGGUUAAUACCCCGGCGGGAUGACGGUACCGGAAGAAUAAGCACCGGCUAACUACGUGCCAGCAGCCGCGGUAAAAC